rnacentral:rRNA from 1 species
UACGUGGGGUGCAAGCGUUGUUCGGAAUUACUGGGCGUAAAGCGCGUGUAGGCGGUUCGCUAAGUUCGAUGUGAAAGCCCUGGGCUUAACCCAGGAACUGCAUUGAAAACUGGCGGACUUGAGUCCGGGAGAGGGUCGCGGAAUUCCUGGUGUAGAGGUGAAAUUCGUAGAUAUCAGGAGGAACACCGGUGGCGAGGGCGGCGACCUGGACCGGUACUGACGCUGAGACGCGAAAGCGUGGGGAGCGAACAGG